UAGAGAAUACCAAGGCGCUUGAGAGAACUCGGGUGAAGGAACUAGGCAAAAUGGUGCCGUAACUUCGGGAGAAGGCACGCUGAUAUGUAGGUGAAGCGACUUGCUCGUGGAGCUGAAAUCAGUCGAAGAUACCAGCUGGCUGCAACUGUUUAUUAAAAACACAGCACUGUGCAAACACGAAAGUGGACGUAUACGGUGUGACGCCUGCCCGGUGCCGGAAGGUUAAUUGAUGGGGUUAGCGGUAACGCGAAGCUCUUGAUCGAAGCCCCGGUAAACGGCGGCCGUAACUAUAACGGUCCUAAGGUAGCGAAAUUCCUUGUCGGGUAAGUUCCGACCUGCACGAAUGGCGUAAUGAUGGCCAGGCUGUCUCCACCCGAGACUCAGUGAAAUUGAACUCGCUGUGAAGAUGCAGUGUACCCGCGGCAAGACGGAAAGACCCCGUGAACCUUUACUAUAGCUUGACACUGAACAUUGAGCCUUGAUGUGUAGGAUAGGUGGGAGGCUUUGAAGUGUGGACGCCAGUCUGCAUGGAGCCGACCUUGAAAUACCACCCUUUAAUGUUUGAUGUUCUAACGUUGGCCCGUAAUCCGGGUUGCGGACAGUGUCUGGUGGGUAGUUUGACUGGGGCGGUCUCCUCCUAAAGAGUAACGGAGGAGCACGAAGGUUGGCUAAUCCUGGUCGGACAUCAGGAGGUUAGUGCAAUGGCAUAAGCCAGCUUGACUGCGAGCGUGACGGCGCGAGCAGGUGCGAAAGCAGGUCAUAGUGAUCCGGUGGUUCUGAAUGGAAGGGCCAUCGCUCAACGGAUAAAAGGUACUCCGGGGAUAACAGGCUGAUACCGCCCAAGAGUUCAUAUCGACGGCGGUGUUUGGCACCUCGAUGUCGGCUCAUCACAUCCUGGGGCUGAAGUAGGUCCCAAGGGUAUGGCUGUUCGCCAUUUAAAGUGGUACGCGAGCUGGGUUUAGAACGUCGUGAGACAGUUCGGUCCCUAUCUGCCGUGGGCGCUGGAGAACUGAGGGGGGCUGCUCCUAGUACGAGAGGACCGGAGUGGACGCAUCACUGGUGUUCGGGUUGUCAUGCCAAUGGCACUGCCCGGUAGCUAAAUGCGGAAGAGAUAAGUGCUGAAAGCAUCUAAGCACGAAACUUGCCCCGAGAUGAGUUCUCCCUGACUCCUUGAGGGUCCUGAAGGAACGUUGAAGACGACGACGUUGAUAGGCCGGGUGUGUAAGCGCAGCGAUGCGUUGAGCUAACCGGUACUAAUGAACCGUGAGGCUUAACCUUACAACGCCGAAG
rnacentral:rRNA from 1 species